rnacentral:rRNA from 1 species
UAGGGAAUCUUCCACAAUGGACGCAAGUCUGAUGGAGCAACGCCGCGUGAGUGAAGAAGGUUUUCGGACCGUAAAGCUCUGUUGUUGGUGAAGAAGGAUAGAGGUAGUAACUGGCCUUUAUUUGACGGUAAUCAACCAGAAAGUCACGGCUAACUACGUGCCAGCAGCCGCGGUAAUACGUAGGUGGCAAGCGUUGUCCGGAUUUAUUGGGCGUAAAGCGAGCGCAGGCGGAAGAAUAAGUCUGAUGUGAAAGCCCUCGGCUUAACCGAGGAAUU